GUUUGGUUAGUAUAGUGGUAAGUAUGCUUGUCUGUCACACAAGAGACCGGAGUUCAAUUCCCCGACUAAACG
rnacentral:tRNA from 1 species